rnacentral:rRNA from 1 species
GACGAACGCUGGCGGCGUGCCUAAUACAUGCAAGUCGAACGCUGAAGGAGGAGCUUGCUUCUCUGGAUGAGUUGCGAACGGGUGAGUAACGCGUAGGUAACCUGCCUGGUAGCGGGGGAUAACUAUUGGAAACGAUAGCUAAUACCGCAUAAGAGUAGAUGUUGCAUGACAUUUGCUUAAAAGGUGCAAUUGCAUCACUACCAGAUGGACCUGCGUUGUAUUAGCUAGUUGGUGGGGUAACGGCUCACCAAGGCGACGAUACAUAGCCGACCUGAGAGGGUGAUCGGCCACACUGGGACUGAGACGCGGCCCAGACUCCUACGGGAGGCAGCAGUAGGGAAUCUUCGGCAAUGGACGGAAGUCUGACCGAGCAACGCCGCGUGAGUGAAGAAGGUUUUCGGAUCGUAAAGCUCUGUUGUAAGAGAAGAACGAGUGUGAGAGUGGAAAGUUCACACUGUGACGGUAUCUUACCAGAAAGGGACGGCUAACUACGUG